CCUAUUUUCAGAGAGCAUUAGAGCGCUUGCGCCAAACCUCCUUCCGCAGUCUUUGUGCGGCGAAGAAGGGCCUCGCGCGUGCGCGGCGCGUGGGUACAGGUGGCGGCCCCCUCCGGAAUCUUAGUUUGGGGAAGCGUUGUAGAGAGGCGAAUGGUUAUGCAUCUAAGUCGUCGUUUCAGGUCGUGGGAAUGCAGUCCCGCUAAGGGGCGCCAGAGGCGGUGGGAUCGCCCGCGUGGAUUACCUUUUCCCGCUCAUCGACCAGCCAGCCGUUCCUACUUCAGAAAUUUAAACUUCUGAGAUAGCUUCCUUCUACGAUAAUGUCAGCGGAUAAACAGAGAUGUCGGUCGCUCAAGCUCUGUGACAGUAUAUACACUGAGUUUGAAAGGCCACAACUUAAAAGUCACUUCCUCGGAAAGGCCUUGUCUGAACACCCCAUCUAACAUAGCACCCUCGGCAUUUUAUAAUGGAUGGAUCAGUUGACAACGCCUGCUGAUUAAUCUUAACAUCACAAAAAGAAAGACAACCAGACAUUACAUGGCCCUGAAGUAAUGUGAUAAGUAAGACACAAAACCACCUAUGAAGUAUUUUUGUCAAAAAAUCGGACCUGAAUCUGAACAAGCCACUAGAUAGCAGGAACUGUGAGAUUCAGAGGCUCAGAAGUUCAGUCAGGCUGUGUGAGCCCUGUACUGGAGCUGAGGACAGCGGCCCUGCUCUGCUCCUUUCCAGCAUUGAGACUCUGGAGUGGCCAUCACUUCCUCGGGUGUCACGUGAGGAGCAGAUGAAGCAACCACAUCGUGUAUGAACCUUCAUGGUCCAUAUGUCUAGGUGAGCUGUUUGUUGGAGGAGCUGGUCAGGAGUGAUGAGCAGCCUCUCUGGGUCCUCUGCUGUCUAAUCAUCAGGCAAUUCACAGUUGGUGAUUGGAGUUGCCAUUGGAUCUCUGUGUAUCCUGCUGCUGGUGCUGACCACAUCUGCAUGUUAUCGCAUGCAAUACACAGGAGGCUCACCCUUCAAGCUUGUGGAGUGGACCCCAAACGUGUGGACAGAGUCUUUUCCUGGUGCUCAUGUCCUCGGAGAGGGCCCGGGGCUCGUGACAAUGCCCACAACGAGAUCGUGAGCAACAGGAACUCGCAGUCCACCCUGGUCUCUGAGCAGGAGCUGGAACAGCAGGAGCACGCGGAGCUGGCACAUGUCAUCGUACAGUCCCCAGGGGAAGCAAUGCGUCUGCUGGGACCGGCAAGAGCUAGAAAGGUCUCAGAUGAGAAGCAAGCAGCUCGUUCCAGCAAUGCUGUAGGACACCAUUGAAGAUGCCCAACUCGAGACUGGUAGGAGGCGCAGAGACAUGGAACGGCUGGUCCCACACCUCUUGUGUGGUGGUUAAGAAUCAAGAGGGAUAUCUCAGUUGCGGAGGUCCCCGGAGGAACGAGGCCCCACAGCGGUCUCCCCAGCCCAGGAUUCCAAUGCCAGAAAGAGAAAUUCCCACAACUUCUAGCUGUAAAAACCAGAGGAGACUGCGGCUGAGUGAGACAGAUGACGGCUGGAGUCAUAGACAUUACUAUUAAUGUUUAUAUUAAUUUAAUUAUAGGUGGAUGUUUACAAGUGACCAGCCCUGUGUCUAGGUGUCCCUGAACUGGAUGCUUGUGCAUGGGCUUCCUUCUCCUCUAGGGAAAUGAAUGGGGAGGGUGGGAUAUGGGUCAGAUCUGAGUGCCAAAUAUGUUCUAUGUCAUGUGCCAUUUCAGGUCAUGUUAGUGAACCUUCAGCCCCAUCUGGGCUCAGGGGAGUGGGAAAGCUGCCCUGGUCUCAGGGAGGAAGAGUGGACGGUGCUCAUGGAUUGUGUUAAAUGUUUACUAACUUAGCACUAGUUGGGCCCUCUCACUUCUGGUGGUUUGUGAAUCUGAGCCCCAGAACUGCCUUAUUCAGUUUGGAUUGGCUAUUUAAGCAUCUCUAGGCACUUGCCUUCUGCAUAAACAACUCAAUGCAUAAUACCGAUCCUUAAAUACUGUGAGUAUGUAUUUAUAUGGCUAACACAUUAGGGUUUUGUCCUUGUAUCAUUUUGUCUUAUUUUUAAAAAUCCUCAGUAACUCUCUCAGCUCUUAGUUUACAAAACACUUCAUAGUAUUCCAGGCACUUCAGUAAAAUUUUAUAGAGGAAGCACUUCUCAGGGUUUUUGCUUUUUUCCAUCUCAAGACUGCGUGUUGUCUUGUGUGACAAUCCAGCUGAUGUGACAGGGCCAAAACUUGAACUGCCAAAACACAUUUGGGAUAUCACGUCCAUGGGGUUAUCAGGAAGGGAUGAUCCCAUAGCCUUGGUGCUCUCCCACUCUCCCACUUUCCUUUGAGGCCCCACCCUGAUGUCUCCUCCCUUUCCUAAAAGACACAGGUGUUUCCUGCCUUUUCUGUUCCUUCUGUGCAGGAUACUUUGCCCUAGGGUCUUCAGAUGGAGCCAUGCCUUUUAUCCAUCAGGUUUUCCUUUCUCAGAGAAGUUGAGUGCCCAUCCAAAGUAUUAGCCUUAUCGGUGUUUGUCCAUUUUAUUUAUUUGUUCACAAGUCUAUUGUGUGUCUUCCACCAGAGAGAAGUUUCAUGAAACCAUGAAAUUGUCUUCUUCAUUGCUUUAUACACAAUGCAAAUAUGCUUUUUUAGUUUUAUUUAAUGGUUGCGCAUCUUUUCAUGCCUCUCUCUGGAGGCAGGUCCCUCCUUUGAAGAAUUUGUUGGAAACAUCAAACAAUACGAGGAAGGCUGUUAGGUACAAAAUACUCAUAUUUAUAAAUGCAUAACCAAAAUAAAUGUGAAACCUUAUAUAAAAA